rnacentral:rRNA from 1 species
CCUACGGGGAGCAGCAGUCGAGAAUCAUUCACAAUGGGGGAAACCCUGAUGGUGCGACGCCGCGUGAGGGAAUGAAGGUCUUCGGAUUGUAAACCCCUGUCAUGUGGGAGCAAAUUAACAAGAUAGUACCACAAGAGGAAGAGACGGCUAACUAUGUGCCAGCAGCCGCGGUAAUACAGAGGUCUCAAGCGUUGUUCGGAAUCACUGGGCGUAAAGCGUGCGUAGGCUGUGUCGUAAGUCGGGUGUGAAAGGCGCGGGCUUAACCCGCGGAGGGCAAAUGAUACUGUGAGACUAGAGUAAUGGAGGGGGAAACGGAAUUCUCGGUGUAGCAGUGAAAUGCGUAGAUAUCGAGAGGAACACUCGUGGCGAAGGCGGGUUCCUGGACAUUAACUGACGCUGAGGCACGAAGGCCAGGGGAGCGAAAGGGAUUAGAUACCCGUGUAGUC